UAAGUACUCUGGAGCUCAGCAAGGGUUUUCAUCUUUAAAAGAUGUGACAGAUGCCUGUGGAUUUUGACAUAGCUCAGUUUACUAGAUCUUUCAUAGAUAAGAAGCUUUGUCACACAGAUUAAACUGCAGAUGCAAAGGAGAAAAUUGGGUGGGGUUUUGUGUAUUUGUUUGUUUAUUUAUUUAAAGAUUAGAACAAUGAAAGCACAGCCAACAGUUCUCCUUAAGUUUCAGUAAGGAAAAGUAGUAUUGUGUUAAAACUCUAAUCGGUGCUAUAGAACAGUCAUUUUUUUUCACCAACUCCUAUGUUUAUCUUUAAUAGUAAUUAAUAUAUAAUUGGCACUACAAAACCUAACCAGGUGAUACUUUGAAGGAAAAUCUCCUUCCCCCAUCAUCUUUCUCUAUGUAACUAACCAUCCCUGUGAAACCGCAUAAAGAAUACUGAAUCACACAAUACAUACACUUAUAAUUAGUCCUACAGGAUAGGUUAAAACUUAAUUAGUUAAAUGAAGUAUGUGUUUUUCUGUUGAAAGUAAUAGCAAUAGAAAGACAUCUCCAUCCAGCCAUGUACAUUUGUGCAAAGAAAGAUGUGCUUCUGCGUUUUACUGAGCAAGGGCUGUAAAUGUCAAUUCCAGUGCAUCUAUGUUACCAUUUUCUCUCUAUUAAUGGAAUAGAUCAUAAUCUUUUUGUUUAAAGUUGUAAUGUUGUUAGCUUCAGAUUCACAAGUGUCGUGUACUCUACAGUUCUUAGAUCUCCGUUUGCUCACAAAGAACUUAAUCCUAUAUUGCAGUAUUCUAUUCUCUGUGCAAGGAGCACCAAGCAUAAGACUCCUUCUGCUGACAACCAGUAUUUAUAGCUCACUAGAUCAGCCUUGCAGUUGGCUUCCAUGACAUACAAUAAAAUCAUAAACUUCAACAUGUGGAGUUGUGUCUACACUGUGUGAAGACCCCAAAUUUAAAAACAAACAAACACAUAUGUUUCUCAGUACCACUUUGUUACCAAGGACUGAUUGCCCUUAUUGUCCAGGAGUAAUAUAACAAGAACCCUUUGGAGAGGCAACUCCAUUACCACUUUUACAUGUAGUACUAAGCUUGGGAAAAAAAAUUCCUAUCUGCAUGGGGCAGCAAGCCACUGAUGCCUGCAUCUUGCAGAAGACAGCACGGUUGGAGGAACCCAGGAUCUGGCAGAAACUGAAUUGAUCCCUGCCUUCAUGGGAGCUACACAUUAUUUAUAAGGGCGGCUGCUUGAGGAACUGGCUUGAGAAGAGACAUAGAGUCAGCUAAAGUCCUUGGAGCAAUGAGAUAAGUUCUACUCUGUUCUGCUAAAUCCAUUCUCUCAUGCCUCUGGGGUGAUCUGUCACAGCAGUAGGAGUUCAAUGCCCUCACAGUAUGUUCCAGCCAUGCUCACCAUGGCAGGAUGCAGUAAGCCACAAUGGAUAUGAUGGUUCAAAAGGCCCUGUUUGCACUUCAUUUGUUUUAACAUGGCAGGUUUGCCCUUUUAAAAACAGUUGUAAGGUUGCCUUUCUGUUCCUUCUAUUCUUUUUAAAGGAUCUGUAUCCCUGAAUUCCAGUCAUGGGAGUCAUUACACCAAGAUUCUGUUACACCUAUUAAGUCAUAUUCACCAUCUUGUAUUAAGAGUUUAGGUCUGGGCUGUUUGUUUCUCAUACUCUAGACAUUGGUUUAUAGACAUCAAAGACUUUUAGCCUAGCUUUUUUCCUACAUUUUGGGAAGACUAUUACCGGGUGACAUUAGAGCUUGCAGUUAAGGUAUAGGUGGGAAUCUACAAGUUUAUGAUAUUAGCCUAUGACAAUUUGGUUGUUUUCAGGACAUCCAGGAAAGGUAAUUUUGGUUUUUCAACUGUGGUAUUCCUGGUAAAAUAUUAAGAUUAAUAAAUAUAGCUGAUUCAGAAACCACAGAUGCUCUUAUUGCCCCACUGACGUAAAGUCACAAUGCUACGACAAUACAUUGCCUCCAAAUUAGCAUUUCACCAAUAGUGGAAAGAUUAUAUAAAAUCAGAAAACAGCUCUAGAGAGGGGUUCUCUACUCUCCCUGAAAUGUAGGUUAGCUCUUUAGGGGGAUUUGUGCAAGCAUGAGCCAUAUCGCCAAAUCAUACGACUUGUGUAAUUGCAAGCCUCCUCUGAGAAUAAUGUACAUUUAGAGACAGCACACAAAAAUGACAUAAAUUUAUAUAUGGAAUUUAGCCUAUUGACAGAUGAUAUAUGAGCUGCUGGGUCUGGAGAGAUUUCAAUGAAUAACAUGGUAAUUUACUGCACCUAACCUGAAAUACCAGGUCUAUUUUUCAUUUUCUGUUUUCUGUCAUUGUUUGGUCUCACUUGCAUUUGGCUAUUUAUGUUGUAUUUGCAGUACAUGCAGCUGUAAAUAGAUUAAUCACUUUAGGACUUUUCCAAAACACUGCAUCCCUUAUUGGCUGAAAGUCCACUAAAAUGACUGGAAUAUUUAAUACUAACACAAAACACAAUCAUUUCUUCUAUUAGUGAGCUUAGGUCUGGAGUGCCAGUGGCUAUGUAGCCAAAACAAGACUACAGCAAAACAAGAUAGAGGUGUUAGCGUGUCUAGAAUAAUUUCACCAUUUACAGAAAUACAACAAAAUGUUAGGAAAGAGGACAAAGGGGGCAACUUGCCCGGCUCUAUAAAACAGUACAACAUGGACUGAACUUGGUCCAUAGCCACCAAGUACUCCCUGAGAUGUUGGAGUACAUCUGUACUCUGAUCUGAACUUGGAUGUCCAGGUUUCAAUGGUGGCCAGGAAUAUGUUUGCACAGCUCACACUAAUGAACAACUAUGCCUAUUCCUGGGGGUGUUUGACCUCACCAAGGUAGCAUUAUGGUUAGUGCUGGGCUGGGACUCUGGAGAGCUAGGUUCUCAUCCUCAUAUGGCCAUGAAGUUCACAGGGUGACUUUGAGUCAUCACUGACUCAACCUAACUAAAAUCACAGAGUUGUUAAGAGGAUUAAAUGGAAGGAAGGAAGGAAGAGGCAGAGGAUUAUAUAAGCUACCUUGGUCUCUCUGCAGGAAAGAAGGUGGGCUAUAAAUAUAAGCAAUGCAAGUAUGUCUUAAUAAUAGCCUAUUGGGCUAUAGUGCUGCUCUACAUGGAGCUUCCUUUGAAAAGGAUUUGGAAACUUCAGCUGGUCCAGAAUGCCAUUUACAGCCUUCUUGGGAUCCAUCAGUGUGGUUGACCAAAGGUUUAAAACAUCAAGACCAUAAGCAAGCAAAAAUAGUGAAACAGUUGAAAACAAUAUUAAAAAUGACAGAAAAUAUUUAAACCACCAAAUAAAAAGAUGUGUCUGGGACUCUCAUUCUGGAUACAGCCAGGACCAGUCACACCUCUACAAGAGCUGCAUUUUAGGGACCACGACCAAUCUGUAAUGAUUAGCAGCAGCAGCUACUACUGCCUACUUUGUAUGACUCUGGAAUUAGUCUUCUCUGAGAUAAUCUCCCUGCUCCAUUUCUACCCUUAGGGGCAUUCCAGUGCCACAAAGCAGAAAACUGUAGGUUUCCUGAGCUGGCUGCCUAUGAACUAUGUUCAAGAUUAUGUGGUUGAUAGACAGAGCCCUAAACAACUUGGGAUGUAGACCAGCAGAUCACCUUUCUGUCUUAUACUGAGCCGAACUUUAGGACCACGCAACGCCCUGCUUGUCAUCCCGAUACCAAUGCAACACUGCUGCAGAAUAUCUCAGGGGUGGCGCUUCCCGGUGGUGGAACACCCCCUCCCAUCAUAGUGAGACUGAAAAGGGGGUGUGUCCUGAAGUGCACUUGUUCACCCAGGUUUUGUCCAGCUUGUAAUUAAUUUGAAUUAAGCAUACACUACUCUAUUUUACCGUUCUUUGUGUUGCCUCUCUUAUUACUGUAGCCAGUUUUAACAGUGUAUUUUAAAUGUUGCAAUUACACACAGAGAGAGUACCCAACAUUUUAUUUCAGUAAGUAUUUAAGUGAAAGAACAUUAUUAUAUUUCAUUAAUGAAAUAAGUAGAUCCUCCUGGUACAUUUUUAAAGUUUUGUUGAUAUAUAUAUUCUGUUUUAUUUUGUCUAUUUCUUACAAUGUUUUAAUUGCUUUUUAUUAAUGGUAGUAUUGAUAUUUUAUUGUUAUGUCCACCCAGAGAACAUUAUGCCAGUGGGUGACUUUUAUGCAAUUUUAAUUAAUUAAUUAACUAACACACACAUCCCCCCAAAAAACCACCACCACAAACAACAACAACAAUAACAACAACAAAGUAGCACAGAACAGCUCAAAAUAUCCUGGGACAAGAAUAAAAUGAAGUGUGGUAUUGGAACGAUGCAACUGGAAAGUUACUAAAGUCUGAUAGGUUUAAAUUUCAUUUUGUUUGAGGCAACAACCCCUUUAAUUGCCAUUAAUGGUCUGUUUUAGUGAAAGUCAUUUCAAUUGUUUCUUUUUUCACCUGCAUUCAAAUUAAAUGAGAUUUAUUGGUU